AGCUGGGGUAGAGGCGCGGAAAACAUGAGUACCUCCGGGGAGGACCGGGGUCCGGUGAGACGGAGGGAAAGGGUUUGCCGCCGAAGUUCAGCCGCCGCCCGGGGCCGGCUGGGCUGGGCCGUCACCGAACAGGUGCCGGACUGUCAUCCGGGGGAAAGCCCGCCCCUGGAUGGAGCGCUAUCUCACCG
rnacentral:ncRNA from 2 species